rnacentral:rRNA from 1 species
UGGGGAAUUUUGGACAAUGGGCGCAAGCCUGAUCCAGCCAUGCCGCGUGCGGGAAGAAGGCCUUCGGGUUGUAAACCGCUUUUGUCGGGGAAGAAACGCUCUGGGCUAAUACCCUGGGGUAAUGACGGUACCCGAAGAAUAAGCACCGGCUAACUACGUGCCAGCAGCCGCGGUCAUACGGAGGAACCAAGCGUUAUCCGGAAUUACUGGGCGUAAAGAGUUGCGUAGGUGGCAUAGUAAGUAGAUAGUGAAAGCGUUCGGCUCAACCGGAUAUCCAUUAUCUAAACUGCUAAGCUAGAGGAUGAGAGAGGUUAUUGGAAUUCCCUGUGUAGGAGUGAAAUCCGUAGAUAUAGGGAGGAACACCGAUGGCGUAGGCAGAUAACUGGCUCAUUCCUGACACUAAGGCACGAAAGCGUGGGGAGCAAA